UACGAAGGGGGCUAGCGUUGCUCGGAAUUACUGGGCGUAAAGGGAGCGUAGGCGGGUCGUCAAGUUGGGGGUGAAAGCCCAGGGCUCAACCUUGGAAUUGCCUUCAAAACUGACGAUCUAGAGUAUGGAAGAGGUAAGUGGAACUCCGAGUGUAGAGGUGAAAUUCGUAGACAUUCGGAAGAACACCAGUGGCGAAGGCGACUUACUGGUCCAUGACUGACGCUGAGGCUCGAAAGCGUGGGGAGCAAACAGG
rnacentral:rRNA from 1 species